GCCCGGAUGGUGGAACUGGUAGACACGCAACGUUGAGGUCGUUGUGCGAUGAGCGUGGGGGUUCGAGUCCCCCUUCGGGCACCA
rnacentral:tRNA from 1 species